UACGUAGGGGGCAAGCGUUGUCCGGAUUCAUUGGGCGUAAAGAGCGUGUAGGCGGCCAGGUAGGUCGGUUGUGAAAACUGGAGGCUCAACCUUCAGAGGUCGACCGAAACCAUCUGGCUAGAGUCCGGGAGAGGAGAGUGGAAUUCCUGGUGUAGCAGUGAAAUGCGUAGAUAUCAGGAGGAACACCGAUGGCGAAGGCAGGUCUCUGGGCUGACACUGACGCUCAUGCACGAAAGCGUGGGGAGCAAACAGG
rnacentral:rRNA from 1 species